UACGGAGGGAGCUAGCGUUGUUCGGAAUUACUGGGCGUAAAGCGCGCGUAGGCGGCUUUGUAAGUUAGAGGUGAAAGCCCGGAGCUCAACUCCGGAACUGCCUUUAAAACUGCAUCGCUUGAAUCCAGGAGAGGUGAGUGGACUUCCGAGUGUAGAGGUGAAAUUCGUAGAUAUUCGGAAGAACACCAGUGGCGAAGGCGGCUCACUGGACUGGUAUUGACGCUGAGGUGCGAAAGCGUGGGGAGCAAACAGG
rnacentral:rRNA from 1 species